UACGUAGGGGUGCGAGCGUUGUCCGGAAUUAUUGGGCGUAAAGGGCUCGUAGGCGGUUUGUCGCGUCGGGAGUGAAAUCCAUUGGCUUAACUGGUGGCUUGCAUUCGAUACGGGCAGGCUAGAGUUCGGUAGGGGAGACUGGAAUUCCUGGUGUAGCGGUGAAAUGCGCAGAUAUCAGGAGGAACACCGAUGGCGAAGGCAGGUCUCUGGGCAUUAACUGACGCUGAGGCACGAAAGCGUGGGGAGCAAACAGG
rnacentral:rRNA from 1 species